GUUUUUCACAGGUUCAUGUGAUGAUAAGAUUCUCAUGCUAAUGUGUGAGGUGUGCCUCCCUCAAACCUUGUUACUACAUCGGCACUUUACCCUUCUGAUG